GUGCCAGCAGCCGCGGUAAUACGGAGGGGGCUAGCGUUGUUCGGAAUUACUGGGCGUAAAGCGCACGUAGGCGGAUCGGAAAGUUGGGGGUGAAAUCACCGGGGCUCAACCCCGGAACGGCCUUCAAAACUACUGGUCUUGAGUUCGAGAGAGGUGAGUGGAAUUCCGAGUGUAGAGGUGAAAUUCGUAGAUAUUCGGAGGAACACCAGUGGCGAAGGCGGCUCACUGGCUCGAUACUGACGCUGAGGUGCGAAAGCGUGGGGAGCAAACAGGAUUAGAUA
rnacentral:rRNA from 1 species